GUGUGACUGCGUACCUUUUGUAUAAUGGGUCAGCGACUUAUAUUCUGUAGCAAGGUUAACCGAAUAGGGGAGCCGAAGGGAAACCGAGUCUUAACUGGGCGUUAAGUUGCAGGGUAUAGACCCGAAACCCGGUGAUCUAGCCAUGGGCAGGUUGAAGGUUGGGUAACACUAACUGGAGGACCGAACCGACUAAUGUUGAAAAAUUAGCGGAUGACUUGUGGCUGGGGGUGAAAGGCCAAUCAAACCGGGAGAUAGCUGGUUCUCCCCGAAAGCUAUUUAGGUAGCGCCUCGUGAAUUCAUCUCCGGGGGUAGAGCACUGUUUCGGCAAGGGGGUCAUCCCGACUUACCAACCCGAUGCAAACUGCGAAUACCGGAGAAUGUUAUCACGGGAGACACACGGCGGGUGCUAACGUCCGUCGUGAAGAGGGAAACAACCCAGACCGCCAGCUAAGGUCCCAAAGUCAUGGUUAAGUGGGAAACGAUGUGGGAAGGCCCAGACAGCCAGGAUGUUGGCUUAGAAGCAGCCAUCAUUUAAAGAAAGCGUAAUAGCUCACUGGUCGAGUCGGCCUGCGCGGAAGAUGUAACGGGGCUAAACCAUGCACCGAAGCUGCGGCAGCGACACUAUGUGUUGUUGGGUAGGGGAGCGUUCUGUAAGCCUGUGAAGGUGUACUGUGAGGUAUGCUGGAGGUAUCAGAAGUGCGAAUGCUGACAUAAGUAACGAUAAAGCGGGUGAAAAGCCCGCUCGCCGGAAGACCAAGGGUUCCUGUCCAACGUUAAUCGGGGCAGGGUGAGUCGACCCCUAAGGCGAGGCCGAAAGGCGUAGUCGAUGGGAAACAGGUUAAUAUUCCUGUACUUGGUGUUACUGCGAAGGGGGGACGGAGAAGGCUAUGUUGGCCGGGCGACGGUUGUCCCGGUUUAAGCGUGUAGGCUGGUUUUCCAGGCAAAUCCGGAAAAUCAAGGCUGAGGCGUGAUGACGAGGCACUACGGUGCUGAAGCAACAAAUGCCCUGCUUCCAGGAAAAGCCUCUAAGCAUCAGGUAACAUCAAAUCGUACCCCAAACCGACACAGGUGGUCAGGUAGAGAAUACCAAGGCGCUUGAGAGAACUCGGGUGAAGGAACUAGGCAAAAUGGUGCCGUAACUUCGGGAGAAGGCACGCUGAUAUGUAGGUGAAGUCCCUCGCGGAUGGAGCUGAAAUCAGUCGAAGAUACCAGCUGGCUGCAACUGUUUAUUAAAAACACAGCACUGUGCAAACACGAAAGUGGACGUAUACGGUGUGACGCCUGCCCGGUGCCGGAAGGUUAAUUGAUGGGGUUAGCGGUAACGCGAAGCUCUUGAUCGAAGCCCCGGUAAACGGCGGCCGUAACUAUAACGGUCCUAAGGUAGCGAAAUUCCUUGUCGGGUAAGUUCCGACCUGCACGAAUGGCGUAAUGAUGGCCAGGCUGUCUCCACCCGAGACUCAGUGAAAUUGAACUCGCUGUGAAGAUGCAGUGUACCCGCGGCAAGACGGAAAGACCCCGUGAACCUUUACUAUAGCUUGACACUGAACAUUGAGCCUUGAUGUGUAGGAUAGGUGGGAGGCUUUGAAGUGUGGACGCCAGUCUGCAUGGAGCCGACCUUGAAAUACCACCCUUUAAUGUUUGAUGUUCUAACGUUGGCCCGUUAUCCGGGUUGCGGACAGUGUCUGGUGGGUAGUUUGACUGGGGCGGUCUCCUCCUAAAGAGUAACGGAGGAGCACGAAGGUUGGCUAAUCCUGGUCGGACAUCAGGAGGUUAGUGCAAUGGCAUAAGCCAGCUUGACUGCGAGCGUGACGGCGCGAGCAGGUGCGAAAGCAGGUCAUAGUGAUCCGGUGGUUCUGAAUGGAAGGGCCAUCGCUCAACGGAUAAAAGGUACUCCGGGGAUAACAGGCUGAUACCGCCCAAGAGUUCAUAUCGACGGCGGUGUUUGGCACCUCGAUGUCGGCUCAUCACAUCCUGGGGCUGAAGUAGGUCCCAAGGGUAUGGCUGUUCGCCAUUUAAAGUGGUACGCGAGCUGGGUUUAGAACGUCGUGAGACAGUUCGGUCCCUAUCUGCCGUGGGCGCUGGAGAACUGAGGGGGGCUGCUCCUAGUACGAGAGGACCGGAGUGGACGCAUCACUGGUGUUCGGGUUGUCAUGCCAAUGGCACUGCCCGGUAGCUAAAUGCGGAAGAGAUAAGUGCUGAAAGCAUCUAAGCACGAAACUUGCCCCGAGAUGAGUUCUCCCUGACUCCUUGA
rnacentral:rRNA from 1 species